rnacentral:rRNA from 1 species
AACGUGCCCAAUAGUGGGGGAUAGCCCGGCGAAAGCCGGAUUAAUACCGCAUGAGACCUGAGGGUGAAAGCGGGGGAUUCGCAAGAACCUCGCGCUAAUGGAGCGGCCGAUAUCAGAUUAGGUAGUUGGUGGGGUAAAAGCCUACCAAGCCGACGAUCUGUAGCUGGUCUGAGAGGACGACCAGCCACACUGGGACUGAGACACGGCCCAGACUCCUACGGGAGGCAGCAGUGGGGAAUUUUGGACAAUGGGCGCAAGCCUGAUCCAGCCAUGCCGCGUGCGG